GUGGAGCAUGUGGUUUAAUUCGAAGCAACGCGAAGAACCUUACCUGGUCUUGACAUCCCUUUGACCGGUCAGUAAUGUGACCUUUCCUUCGGGACAGAGGAGACAGGUGGUGCAUGGUUGUCGUCAGCUCGUGUCGUGAGAUGUUGGGUUAAGUCCCGCAACGAGCGCAACCCUUAUCUUUAGUAGCCAGCAUUUUGGAUGGGCACUCUAGAGAGACUGCCAGGGAUAACCUGGAGGAAGGUGGGGAUGACGUCAAAUCAUCAUGCCCCUUAUGACCAGGGCUACACACGUGCUACAAUGGCGUAAACAAAGGGAAGCGAUCCCGUGAGGGUAAGCAAAUCUCAAAAAUAACGUCUCAGUUCGGAUUGUAGUCUGCAGCUCGACUACAUGAAGCUGGAAUCGCUAGUAAUCGCGAAUCAGCAUGUCGCGGUGAAUACGUUCCCGGGUCUUGUACACACCGCCCGUCACACCAUGGGAGUCAGUAACGCCCGAAGUCAGUGACCCAACCUAUUAGGAGGGAGCUGCCGAAGGCGGGACCGAUAACUGGGGUGAAGUCGUAACAAGGUAACC
rnacentral:rRNA from 1 species